GACGAACGCUGGUUGCGUGCUUAACACAUGCAAGUCGAACGGAAAGGCCCUGCUUUUGUGGGGUGCUCGAGUGGCGAACGGGUGAGUAACACGUGAGUAACCUGCCCUUGACUUUGGGAUAACUUCAGGAAACUGGGGCUAAUACCGGAUAGGAGCUCCUGCUGCAUGGUGGGGGUUGGAAAGUUUCGGCGGUUGGGGAUGGACUCGCGGCUUAUCAGCUUGUUGGUGGGGUAGUGGCUUACCAAGGCUUUGACGGGUAGCCGGCCUGAGAGGGUGACCGGCCACAUUGGGACUGAGAUACGGCCCAGACUCCUACGGGAGGCAGCAGUGGGGAAUAUUGCACAAUGGGCGGAAGCCUGAUGCAGCAACGCCGCGUGCGGGAUGACGGCCUUCGGGUUGCAAACCGCUUUCGCCUGUGACGAAGCGUGAGUGACGGUAAUGGGUAAAGAAGCACCGGCUAACUACGUGCCAGCAGCCGCGGUGAUACGUAGGGUGCGAGCGUUGUCCGGAUUUAUUGGGCGUAAAGGGCUCGUAGGUGGUUGAUCGCGUCGGAAGUGUAAUCUUGGGGCUUAACCCUGAGCGUGCUUUCGAUACGGGUUGACUUGAGGAAGGUAGGGGAGAAUGGAAUUCCUGGUGGAGCGGUGGAAUGCGCAGAUAUCAGGAGGAACACCAGUGGCGAAGGCGGUUCUCUGGGCCUUUCCUGACGCUGAGGAGCGAAAGCGUGGGGAGCGAACAGGCUUAGAUACCCCGGUAGUCCACGCUGUAAACGGUGGGUACUAGGUGUGGGGUCCAUUCCACGGGUUCCGUGCCGUAGCUAACGCUUUAAGUACCCCGCCUGGGGAGUACGGCCGCAAGGCUAAAACUCAAAGGAAUUGACGGGGCCCCGCACAAGCGGCGGAGCAUGCGGAUUAAUUCGAUGCAACGCGUAGAACCUUACCUGGGUUUGACAUGGAUCGGGAGUGCUCAGAGAUGGGUGUGCCUCUUUUGGGGUCGGUUCACAGGUGGUGCAUGGCUGCCGUCAGCUCGUGUCGUGAGAUGUUGGGUUAAGUCCCGCAACGAGCGCAACCCUUGUUCACUGUUGCCAGCACGUUAUGGUGGGGACUCAGUGGAGACCGCCGGGGUCAACUCGGAGGAAGGUGGGGAUGACGUCAAGUCAUCAUGCCCCUUAUGUCCAGGGCUUCACGCAUGCUACAAUGGCUGGUACAGAGAGUGGCGAGCCUGUGAGGGUGAGCGAAUCUCGGAAAGCCGGUCUCAGUUCGGAUUGGGGUCUGCAACUCGACCUCAUGAAGUCGGAGUCGCUAGUAAUCGCAGAUCAGCAACGCUGCGGUGAAUACGUUCCCGGG
rnacentral:rRNA from 1 species